UACAGAGGGGGCAAGCGUUGUUCGGAAUUACUGGGCGUAAAGGGCGCGUAGGCGGCCCGCUAAGUCGAACGUGAAAUCCCCGGGCUUAACCCGGGAACUGCGUCCGAUACUGGCAGGCUUGAAUCCGGGAGAGGGAUGUGGAAUUCCGAGUGUAGAGGUGAAAUUCGUAGAUAUUCGGAAGAACACCAGUGGCGAAGGCGACUCGCUGGACAGGUAUUGACGCUGAGGUGCGAAAGCGUGGGGAGCAAACAGG
rnacentral:rRNA from 1 species